rnacentral:rRNA from 1 species
GAUCUUCCAGAGAUUAGAGUUUGAUCCUGGCUCAGAUUGAACGCUGGCGGCAGGCAUAACACAUGCAAGUCGAACGGUAACAGGAAACAGCUUGCUGUUUCGCUGACGAGUGGCGGACGGGUGAGUAGUGUCUGGGAAACUGCCUGAUGGAGGGGGAUAACUACUGGGAACGGUAGCUAAUACCGCAUAACGUCGCAAGACCAAAGAGGGGGACCUUAGGGCCUCUUGCCAUCGGAUGUGCCCAGAUGGGAUUAGCUAGUAGGUGGGGUAACGGCUCACCUAGGCGACGAUCCCUAGCUGGUCUGAGAGGAUGACCAGCCACACUGGAACUGAGACACGGUCCAGACUCCUACGGGAGGCAGCAGUGGGGAAUAUUGCACAAUGGGCGCAAGCCUGAUGCAGCCAUGCCGCGUGUAUGAAGAAGGCCUUCGGGUUGUAAAGUACUUUCAGCGGGGAGGAAGGGAGUAAAGUUAAUACCUUUGCUCAUUGACGUUACCCGCAGAAGAAGCACCGGCUAACUCCGUGCCAGCAGCCGCGGUAAUACGGAGGGUGCAAGCGUUAAUC